UGGGGAAUAUUGGACAAUGGGCGCAAGCCUGAUCCAGCCAUGCCGCGUGAGUGAUGAAGGCCUUAGGGUUGUAAAGCUCUUUCGCCGGUGAAGAUAAUGACGGUAACCGGAGAAGAAGCCCCGGCUAACUUCGUGCCAGCAGCCGCGGUAAUACGAAGGGGGCUAGCGUUGCUCGGAAUCACUGGGCGUAAAGCGCACGUAGGCGGAUCGUUAAGUCAGGGGUGAAAUCCUGGAGCUCAACUCCAGAACUGCCCUUGAUACUGGCGAUCUCGAGUUCGAGAGAGGUUGGUGGAACUCCGAGUGUAGAGGUGAAAUUCGUAGAUAUUCGGAAGAACACCAGUGGCGAAGGCGGCCAACUGGCUCGAUACUGACGCUGAGGUGCGAAAGCGUGGGGAGCAAAACAGGAUUUAGAUACCCUGGUAGUCCACGCCGUAAAACGAUGGAUGCUAGCCGUUGGGGGGUUUUUACCUCUCAGUGGCGCAGCUAACGCCUUAAGCAUCCCCGCCUGGGGGAGUACGGUCGCAAGAUUAAAACUCAAAUGAAUUGACGGGGUCAUAGCUGUUUUCCU
rnacentral:rRNA from 1 species